rnacentral:rRNA from 1 species
UACGUAGGGUGCGAGCGUUGUCCGGAUUUAUUGGGCGUAAAGGGCUCGUAGGCGGCUUGUCGCGUCGGGAGUGAAAGCCCGCUGCUUAACGGCGGGUUUGCUUUCGAUACGGGCAGGCUAGAGUUCGGCAGGGGAGACUGGAAUUCCUGGUGUAGCGGUGAAAUGCGCAGAUAUCAGGAGGAACACCGGUGGCGAAGGCGGGUCUCUGGGCCGAUACUGACGCUGGAGGCACGAAAGCGUGGGGAGCAAACAGG